UCAACUGAAUCUUUCUGAACUCAUCAGCAA
rnacentral:piRNA from 1 species